rnacentral:rRNA from 1 species
AGUGGCGGACGGGUGAGUAACGCGUAAGAAUCUAACUUCAGGACGGGGACAACAGUUGGAAACGACUGCUAAUACCCGAUGUGCCGCAAGGUGAAACCUAAUUGGCCUGGAGAAGAGCUUGCGUCUGAUUAGCUAGUUGGUGGGGUAAAGGCCUACCAAGGCGACGAUCAGUAGCUGGUCUGAGAGGAUGAGCAGCCACACUGGGACUGAGACACGGCCCAGACUCCUACGGGAGGCAGCAGUGGGGAAUUUUCCGCAAUGGGCGAAAGCCUGACGGAGCAACGCCGCGUGAGGGAGGAAGAUCUUUGGAUUGUAAACCUCUUUUCUCAAGGAAGAAGUUCUGACGGUACUUGAGGAAUCAGCCUCGGCUAACUCCGUGCCAGCAGCCGCGGUAAUACGGGGGAGGCAAGCGUUAUCCGGAAUUAUUGGGCGUAAAGCGUCCGCAGGUGGUCAGCCAAGUCUGCCGUCAAAUCAGGUUGCUUAACGACCUAAAGGCGGUGGAAACUGGCAGACUAGAGAGCAGUAGGGGUAGCAGGAAUUCCCAGUGUAGCGGUGAAAUGCGUAGAGAUUGGGAAGAACAUCGGUGGCGAAAGCGUGCUACUGGGCUGUAUCUGACACUCAGGGACGAAAGCUAGGGGAGCGAAAGGGAUUAGAUACCCCUGUAGUCCUAGCCGUAAACGAUGGAUACUAGGCGUGGCUU